ACUCCUACGGGAGGCAGCAGUGGGGAAUAUUGGACAAUGGGCGCAAGCCUGAUCCAGCAAUGCCGCGUGAGUGAUGAAGGCCUUAGGGUUGUAAGCUCUUUUACCCGGGAAGAUAAUGACUGUACCGGGAGAAUAAGCCCCGGCUAACUCCGUGCCAGCAGCCGCGGUAAUACGGAGGGGGCUAGCGUUUGUUUCGGAAUUUACUGGGCGUAAAGCGUACGUAGGCGGCUUUUGUAAGUUAGAGGUGAAAGCCCAGGGCUCAACCCUGGAAUUGCCUUUAAGACUGCAUCGCUUGAAUCGUGGAGAGGUGAGUGGAAUUCCGAGUGUAGAGGUGAAAUUCGUAGAUAUUCGGAAGAACACCAGUGGCGAAGGCGGCUCACUGGACACGUAUUGACGCUGAGGUACGAAAAGCGUGGGGAGCAAACAGGAUUAGAUACCCUGGUAGGUCAGUC
rnacentral:rRNA from 1 species